CGGGGCGUGGCGCAGCCUGGCNNUUGGUUCGGGACCAAGAGGUCGCGAGUUCGAAUCUCGCCGCCCCGA
rnacentral:tRNA from 1 species